rnacentral:rRNA from 1 species
UACGGAGGGUGCAAGCAUUAAUCGGAUUUAUUGGGCGUAAAGGGCGCGUAGGCGGAGCUGUAAGUCAGAUGUGAAAUCCCGGGGCUCACCCCCGGAACAGCAUUUGAAACUGCAGCCCUUGAGGGUAGGCGGAGAAAAUGGAAUUCCACAAGUAGCGGUGAAAUGCGUAGAUAUGUGGAAGAACACCAGUGGCGAAGGCGGUUUUCUAGCUUAUUCCUGACGCUCAAGCGCGAAAGCAAGGGGAGCAAACAGG